CCAACCCCCAGGACUGAGUGAGGCUCGGCCGCUGCUGCACCACGGAGCUGCACUCAGACACUUACUGAGGAAUCAAACACAGCAGGAGGAGCUAUGUCUGAUGAAACAUGAGAGCCCAGAGAAAAGUUUUAAAGUAAGUUUCCUUUAAAGCAAGUAUGUCACAACCUUAACAUCUGCUGUAUUGAGCCCUCAUUUUACAACACUCAUUUCAUGCCCCUUUCACCAGCACCUUAAAUGUUGCCAAAGUGUCCAAUUGCACAAGAAUUUCUCCAGAACCUGAAACACCACCAUUGUCCACUUUCACCAAUAUUUACCUGAUAAUGUUCCUACUGUGUAUCUCUCUGGUGGUAAACAAUUAACACAAGGGAAAAAAGCCAAAAAUCAUGCACACAACUUCAUCAGCUAUCACCAGAACACUUUUUUAAAACUGAAUGCUUGCAAAGCUAUAGAAAAUGUGAUUGUAUCUGCAUCCUUUCAGAGCACAGACUUAAACCUUGCCUCCCGAGCAUACAAGUGCCACAAAUCUGAAUAUUGGAUUCUUAAAACUGCCAUUUACAGGUGUAAGACAUACAACACCACAAGUAUUUGCUUUUAUAGAAUCCUCAAAAGGUUUUUUUUUUAAUUCCUUUUGGCCUCUGCAUAAUUCAAAUGAACUUUCCCUUCCAGGCAGUAUAUUUCCGUUAUAUUAGUAUUACCAAAUUAAUUUGAUCUAAAUCUGCUAAAUACUAGAGACAGAAAUCUAGUCUAAUCAAAAUAAAACAUUUCCCAUCUCUGACCAAAGUGCUGAGUAGUACUAAAACCCCUCCUAGUUCAUUAGGAGCCCAGGGAAGACUGAUAAUGCUGGAUACUAAGGUUUGGUCUCUAAGGAAGAAACAAAGACAAUUCCCUUGCAGACAGUAACAACAGGCAGCCCAGGAAGUGGUGAAAGAAACAUUUCAAACUCCAGGAGUCACACAGACACUGCUGGUUUGAAUUUUACACACACCAGCAAGGUUUUACCUUCUCCAGUAACUCCUAUGCUCAGUACCAUGAGCAGAUUGACAUUUCAUUAAUUCCGUCGUGUGUCACUCAGUUACAGACCAAAGCAGCCACACCACCGGUGAGAACAGCCCUGCAGUCCAACAGCCAAGAGCACCCCUGGGUCAUUUGUGUGUCUCUGGCUGAGAGCACUUCUGGACCCUAUCCCAGCAGAGGUUAAGCCAGGAAAACCUGCCCUGCAAUCCAGAUGUUGACAAGAGGUCUGGAUAUGGAAUGCCCUACCUAUCAGUGCACGGACAACUCCAAAAACAAAACCUCAUUCUGUUUCAAAAUUGACUGUUUUUUUACUUCAGUGUUCAAGUUUUCUAACAGAAAUAUUGCUGAUUUUUACAAUACAUGUCAUGUACAUCUCUUUCCAAGAGAGAACUGCCCAUCAUCUCCAAAAGAAGUCACUUCACAUUUAAGCUUUGCUAAGCUAAGUAUUUAUACCACAUCACUGACAAAGGCCUUGCAUUCUCACUGGCUGGAGGUUUUGGUUUGGUUUGGUUUUAAGACUUUGCAUUUUACCAUGAUCCUAGACAACCACAGCUACAGAAAGAUAUUGAUUUAAAAAUAUUAUUUCAUCCACAUAUGCAGUGGUAACCUUCAAGAACACACAGAGAGCUAUAUUUAAAUGGAAGUGUUAAAAAAAAUUCAUGGCUUUCAGUAGAUAUGCUCGAUUUGCAGUUAUCUUCCACUUUCAGCUAAAUAUACAGGGAGGAAGCUGUUCAAGUGCCGCUGAUUUGACAAACUGGCAAGUCACUUCCUGGCAGGACUUACUUUCAGUCAUCACCAUUUAAGUCCUCCGGAGGGAGGGAGAGGACAGGGAUGUGUGCAGGAGAGCAGGAGCGGGCUGCAGAAAAAUAUGUGUGAGCAGUUGCUGUUGCUGCCGGUACUGCUGGCAGUGACAUUUAAAUGUCAGAAUAGCUCCUGUCCUAUCAGGAAGGAUCAGAGCAGACACAUGGAAAAAAGUCAGAAUUGAUUUCAAUUCCUCAGAGGGUCGCACAGAACCUCUUUGUUUAUGCCAACACUUGAGCCUCCAGACACCUCCCAGCCUGCCAGGGGACAGUCACAGGACAGCUCUGUCAGGGCACUCUGGGGACAAGGACCCCAGCACCACCACAGGCAGGAGUAUACAAGGGCUGGAAGUACUGACUUUAAGAGCUCUGCCAUGAACCUUCAGUGGAAAACAAAACAAGACACCUAAACCAGCCCCUCACACAUUCAGUGGCAAGAGAUGGGGAAGGUGAAUAUCACUUCUGAAAUGCUAAACAUACUUCUUUUUAGGUUCUUUGCAGUUUUGCCCACACUGUUCUGAUCUGGGUCAGUGCUCCUAGCAGCCACUUCCAUAAUCCUGUCCUGAAAUACUUCCAAAGCUCACAUUUCUGUACUCCUUCUACACAGACAAAGCUGGAUGCUUUCCACCAGCUGUGCUGAGCAGACCAGUGGGUUUCAUGCCCCUGUCAGCUCACUGCAGAACAAGGAGAAGAAACUCAAUGGAGGUUACAGAGCUAUUUACUGUGUGCCCACAAAAUCUAAAGAAAACCUAAUUAUCAAAUUUAAAUGUAAUACAGAAAUCAAAUUCUACUGUAAACACUUGACAUUAUUCUCACAAGACUUAAAAAUCUACAUGUGGAAAUCCAUUUCCCCAAACAGGUCCUUUUCUCUAAGCUUUACACAGAACCCCAGUCUGUCCAGAGCUGGAAUCCCUUGCUCUCCUACAGAGCUGAUUCACUUGACAUCUUUUAACAAUUCUAUUAGAGAGGAAGGUAGUACAAAAACCAAAACCAAACCAAAAACAAGCCAUACCUUUUUCCCCUGAAGGAAACCAAUCCCCCUGAUGGAAUGAACCUCAGGAAAGAGACUACGGAAAUAAAUCCCUUCCAAAAGCUCACUUUCUCAGAAAGACAAGUAAAUAAUUCCAAUUGUGUUUCCCUCCAUUUAAAUGGGGAACAGAAUUCAAGAAAAAGCAGAUUUGCUAUGAAACCAGUGCAGUGAACUCAAAUAAACUGGUGUUUAAAAAGCCCUCUGAGGUACAUUACGCUACAACAAACCAAAGACCCAACAA